rnacentral:rRNA from 1 species
CCUACGGGUGGCUGCAGUCGAGAAUCAUUCACAAUGGGGGAAACCCUGAUGGUGCGACGCCGCGUGGGGGAAUGAAGGUCUUAGGAUUGUAAACCCCUGUAAUGUGGGAGCAAAUUAAAAUGAUAGUACCACAAGAGGAAGAGACGGCUAAUUCUGUGCGAGCAGCUGAGGUAAUGAAGAGGUCUCAAGCGUUGUUCGGAAUCACUGGGCGGAAAGCGUGCGUAGGCGGGUUGGUAAGGCGCGUGUGAAAGGUUGGGGCUCAACCCGCGGAAGGCAAAUGAUACUGCGAGACUAGAGUAAAGGAGGGGGAACCGGAAUUCUUGGUGUAGCGGUGAAAUGCGUAGAUAUCGUGAGGAACACUGGUGGCGAAGGCGGGUUCCUGGACAUUAACUGACGCUGAGGCACGAAGGCCAGGGGAGCAAAAGGGAUUAGAUACCCCAGUAGUC